CAGAGCGUAUGAAGUCAGUUAACGGGCUUGUGUUGAUCGACGUUAGAAACGUAAAUGAAGUUGCGCUUGGUUCGAUCCCAGGCGCCCUGA
rnacentral:tRNA from 1 species